rnacentral:rRNA from 3 species
UGGCGAUCAUAGCAAGAGUGAACCACCUGAUCCCUUCCCGAACUCAGAAGUGAAACCUCUUAGCGCUGAUGGUAGUGUGGGAUUACCCAUGUGAGAGUAAGUCAUCGCCAGCUC